rnacentral:lncRNA from 1 species
GACUUUUUGCCCCUGAUUACUAAGACUACUCAUUAAAAAUGAACAAAUUGGGGGGCAGCUGGGUAGCUCAGUGGAUUAAGAGCCAGGCCUAGAGAUGGGAGGUCCUAGGUUCAAAUCUGGCCUCAGCCACUUCCUAGCUGUGUGACCCUGGGCAAGUCACUUGACCCCCAUUGCCUAGCCCUUACCACUCUUCUGCCUUGGAGCCAAUACACAGUAUUGACUCCAAGACAGAAGGUAAGGGUUUAAAAAAAAAAAGAACAAAUUAAUCAGAAGGGCUAUAAAUAUAUGAGUCCUUAGGAGAUCCAGAAAGGGCAAUAAAUUAAAGUACUGAUUGCUUUCCCCUCCUAUAUUAGGAGGAGAGGCAGGAUAGCAGUCUAUCAUUACCUUUCCUGAAGAUGCCAAGCUUCCAGCUUCUCAAGAAUGUCAGAACUUUGCCAACCUAGUAUGUACCUCUCAUCUUACUACUUUAAAAGUAAUCUGAAUCUGUUGUUUUCUUGAAGGUAUGGAGCUUCCCCUGAAGAACAAAUCAGAGCUUGCUCUGUACAUUACGGUCUUCAGGAGUUUUCUGGAAUAUUGAGAGGUCAAGUGACUUGUCAAGGAUCACACAGAUAGUAUGUAUAUCAAAUGUGCUUGACCAAACAAGUCUUCCUGAUUCCAAAACCAGUUCUCUACCCACUAUUCCAACAAGAACCUUUUGAGGUUAGUAGGGUCACAAAAUAUGACAGGAAUAUUCAAAGGAAUGCAAGAGGAAGAAAGUGCUCAUAAAUGGGGAGAUCUGGAAGGCUUCAUGGAGGGGUUGGCAUCUGAGUAGUGGUGAGAAGAGAAUGCAAUCUUGACAUAGGAGGCCAAAAAAGAAAGUUUUCCCUCUGAAUGUGGAUACUGUUCUUUCUUGAAGAUCCCUCUGGGUUGUUCAGGAUCACUUCAUUGCCACUAAUGGAGAAAUCCAUUACAUCAAUUGUACCACAGUGUGUCAGUCUCUGUGUACAGUGUUCUCCUGGUUCUGCUCCUUUCACUUGGCAUCAAUUCCUGGAGAGCUAUGGACUCUGAGUUGAGAAGACCUGUCUACAUUCAAACCCUGUGUGACUCUGGGUAAGUCUCUUAACUGUGAUCAGCCUCAGUGUCCUAAUCGAUAAAAUGAGAUAAUAAUUGCACUAACCUCUUAGGGAUCUUGUGAGUAUCAAAUGAGGUAAUAUAUGCAAAGCAAUUUGAAAAUCUUAAAAUGUAUAUAUUAUUGUGAUUAUUAUUCCUAUCAGUUGAAUUAAUAAUUAAUAAUAAUUCAUAUUGUUUUUAUUAUUACUUUAUUAGUGGGAAACAUCAUAUCAUA